rnacentral:rRNA from 1 species
ACGGGUGAGUAACACGUAAGCAAUCUGCCUUUAAGUUUGGGAUAACCUUGCCAACGCGGGGCUAAUACCGGAUGUGAUCAGUUGAACGCAUGUUUAAUUGAUUAAAGGAGCGAUCCGCUUGAAGAUGAGCUUGCGGCCCAUUAGUUAGUUGGCGGGGUAACGGCCCACCAAGACCGCGAUGGGUAGCCGGCCUGAGAGGGUGUACGGCCACAUUGGGACUGAGAUACGGCCCAGACUUCUACGGGAGGCAGCAGUAGGGAAUUUUGCGCAAUGGACGAAAGUCUGACGCAGCAACGCCGCGUGAGGGAUGAAGGUCUUCGGAUUGUAAACCUCUGUUGGAUGGGAAAAAAGGUAGCAAUAUUUGAUGGUACCAUUCGAGUAAGCACCGGCUAACUACGUGCCAGCAGCCGCGGUAAUACGUAGGGUGCAAGCGUUGUUCGGAAUCACUGGGCGUAAAGGGAGUGUAGGCGGGAUCGUAAGUUAGGAGUUUAAUCUACGGGCUCAACUCGUAGUCUGCUUUUAAUACUGCGGUUCUUGAGUAUGGGAGAGGGCGAUGGAAUUCCAGGUGUAGCGGUGGAAUGCGUAGA